rnacentral:lncRNA from 1 species
CUCAGCUGAUGUCUCUGAGAAUGAUUCUCUGACCAGAAAUGGUUCUGCUCUGGUUCUUCUAGCUUGGCCUGAGCGGUGAACACACGGAUCUCAAACAUCCUGUCAACGUAACUGCAGUGUCACAGCCAUCAGAUGGAAAUGCACCCCAAAGCAGGGCUGCAGCAGCGCCCAGCUAUGGCAUGGGACCUCUGAAAUGGAAUUUAUGAAUUAACUGCUACUGAGAAUCCAACAGAGGGAGCACAGACCAUUGUUGUGUGUGUGUGUGUGUGUGUGUGAAAGAGUUAGAUGAAGAGAUGGGUAUUAAACAUAAACUGUCCUGGUGUCAUGGCAUAAGAUUUUUUAAAAACUAAACCCACAGAGCUAGAUUUUACAAGUCACCAGGUUAAAGCUAUUAAAAGGAGUCUCGUUUUCUUAUUUACAGUUCUGUCAGAAACAGUCAUGAUUUAGGAAAAUAUUUUGAUACUGGGGAGAAGUGAGCUGACC